rnacentral:rRNA from 1 species
UGGGGAAUAUUGGGCAAUGGGCGCAAGCCUGACCCAGCCACGCCGCGUGAGUGAUGAAGGCCUUCGGGUCGUAAAGCUCUGUGGGGAGGGACGAACAAACCGUGAGCUAAUAACCACGGUCCUGACGGUACCUCCUUAGCAAGCACCGGCUAACCCUGUGCCAGCAGCCGCGGUAAUACAGGGGGUGCAAACGUUGCUCGGAAUCAUUGGGCGUAAAGCGCACGUAGGCGGUUAUUUAAGUCGGAUGUGAAAGCCCUUGGCUCAACCGAGGAAGUGCAUCCGAAACUGAAUAGCUGGAGUACGAAAGAGGGUCGCGGAAUUCCCGGUGUAGAGGUGAAAUUCGUAGAUAUCGGGAGGAACACCGGUGGCGAAGGCGGCGACCUGGGUCGAUACUGACGCUGAGGUGCGAAAGCGUGGGGAGCAAACAG